AGAUUGCUCAGAUUGAACGCUGGCGGGAGGCCUAACACAUGCAAGCCGAGCGGUAGAGUCUCUUCGGAGACUUGAGAGCGGCGCACGGGUGCGGAACACGUGUGCAACCUGCCUUUAUCUGGGGGAUAGCCUUUCGAAAGGAAGAUUAAUACCCCCAUAAUAUACUGGAUGGCAUCAUCUGGUAUUGAAAACUCCGGUGGAUAGAGAUGGGCACGCGCAAGAUUAGAUAGUUGGUGAGGUAACGGCUCACCAAGUCAGCGAUCUUUAGGGGGCCUGAGAGGGUGAUCCCCCACACUGGUACUGAGACACGGACCAGACUCCUACGGGAGGCAGCAGUGAGGAAUAUUGGACAAUGGGUGAGAGCCUGAUCCAGCCAUCCCGCGUGAAGGACGACGGCCCUAUGGGUUGUAAACUUCUUUUGUAUAGGGAUAAACCUAGAUACGUGUAUCUAGCUGAAGGUACUAUACGAAUAAGCACCGGCUAACUCCGUGCCAGCAGCCGCGGUAAUACGGAGGGUGCAAGCGUUAUCCGGAUUUAUUGGGUUUAAAGGGUCCGUAGGCUGAUUUGUAAGUCAGUGGUGAAAUCUCACAGCUUAACUGUGAAACUGCCAUUGAUACUGCAAGUCUUGAGUGUUGUUGAAGUAGCUGGAAUAAGUAGUGUAGCGGUGAAAUGCAUAGAUAUUACUUAGAACACCAAUUGCGAAGGCAGGUUACUAAGCAACAACUGACGCUGAUGGACGAAAGCGUGGGGAGCGAACAGGAUUAGAUACCCUGGUAGUCCACGCCGUAAACGAUGCUAACUCGUUUUUGGGUUUUCGGAUUCAGAGACUAAGCGAAAGUGAUAAGUUAGCCACCUGGGGAGUACGAACGCAAGUUUGAAACUCAAAGGAAUUGACGGGGGCCCGCACAAGCGGUGGAUUAUGUGGUUUAAUUCGAUGAUACGCGAGGAACCUUACCAAGGCUUAAAUGGGAAAUGACAGGUUUAGAAAUAGACUUUUCUUCGGACAUUUUUCAAGGUGCUGCAUGGUUGUCCUCAGCUCCGGUUGGGAAAUGUAAU
rnacentral:rRNA from 1 species